GGAUUAGUGGUCAAGUGGUACUAAUGGCUCUUUCAAUGCCACUAUCGCGGGUUCGAAUCCCGUCUAAUCUA
rnacentral:tRNA from 1 species